GAUGAACGCUGGCGGCGUGCCUAAUACAUGCAAGUCGAGCGGAAAGGCCUCUUCGGAGGUACUCGAGCGGCGGACGGCUGAGUAACGCGUAGGAACGUACCCCAAAGUGAGGGAUAACUGCUCGAAAGAGUAGCUAAUACCGCAUGUGGUCUAAGGAUUAAAGCUUCGGCGCUUUGGGAACGGCCUGCGUAAGAUUAGCUUGUUGGUGAGGUAACGGCUCACCAAGGCGACGAUCUUUAGCUGGUCUGAGAGGAUGAUCAGCCAGACUGGGACUGAGAACGGCCCAGACUCCUACGGGAGGCAGCAGUAGGGAAUUUCCACAAUGGGCGAAAGCCUGAUGGAGCAACGCCGCGUGCAGGAUGAAUGCCUUCGGGUUGUAAACUGCUUUUAUAUGUGACGAUUAUGACGGUAGCAUAUGAAUAAGGAUCGGCUAAUUCCGUG
rnacentral:rRNA from 1 species